UACAGAGGGGGCAAGCGUUGUUCGGAAUUACUGGGCGUAAAGGGCGCGUAGGCGGCCCGCUAAGUCGAACGUGAAAUCCCCGAGCUCAACUCGGGAACUGCGUCCGAUACUGGCAGGCUUGAAUCCGGGAGAGGGAUGCGGAAUUCCAGGUGUAGCGGUGAAAUGCGUAGAUAUCUGGAGGAACACCGGUGGCGAAGGCGGCAUCCUGGACCGGCAUUGACGCUGAGGCGCGAAAGCCAGGGGAGCAAACGGG
rnacentral:rRNA from 1 species